AGCCAUGCUGUCAUCCGACAGAGCGUUC
rnacentral:sRNA from 1 species